AUGCUCGUUUUGGCAGCACAUAUACUAAAAUUGGAAUGAUACAGAGAAGAAUAGCAUGGCCCCUGAGCAAGGAUGACAUGCAAAUUCGUGAAGUGUUCAGUAUUUUU
rnacentral:snRNA from 1 species